UGGGGAAUUUUGGACAAUGGGGGCAACCCUGAUCCAGCAAUGCCGCGUGUGUGAAGAAGGCCUUCGGGUUGUAAAGCACUUUUGUCCGGAAAGAAAUCGCCCUGGCUAAUAUCCGGGGUGGAUGACGGUACUGGAAGAAUAAGCACCGGCUAACUACGUGCCAGCAGCCGCGGUAAUACGUAGGGUGCGAGCGUUAAUCGGAAUUACUGGGCGUAAAGCGUGCGCAGGCGGUUGUGCAAGACAGAUGUGAAAUCCCCCGGGGCUUAACCUGGGAAUGGCAUUUGUGACUGCACGGCUAGAGUGUGUCAGAGGGGGGUUAGAAUUCCACGUGUAGCAGUGAAAUGCGUAGAUAUGUGGAGGAACACCGAUGGCGAAGGCAGCCCCCUGGGAUAACACUGACGCUCAUGCACGAAAGCGUGGGGGAGCAAACAGGAUUAGAUACCCUGGUAGUCCACGCCCUAAACGAUGUCAACUAGUUGUCGGGUCUUAAUUGACUUGGU
rnacentral:rRNA from 1 species